GGACGAGUAGCGCAAUGGUAGCGUGUGGUCCUCCUAAAGGAGAAUCAAGACUGAGGUUGUGGGUUCGAGUCCCAUCUCGUUCG